CAGUAAGUGAUGGUUUGGGGUGCCAUGUCAUCUGCUGGUUUUGGUCCACUGUGUUUUCUGAGGUCCAAGGUCAACGCAGCCGUAUACCAGGACUUUUAGAGCACUUCAUGCUUUCUGCUGCUGACCAACUUUAUGUAGAUGCAGAUUUCAUUUUCAUUGGCCAGCAAACUCGCCUGAUCUUAGCCCCACAGAACAUCUAUGGGGUAUUGUGAAGAGGAAGAUGCGAUAUGCCAGACCCAAGAAUGCAGAAGAGCUGAAGGCCACUAUCAGAGCAACCUGGGCUCUCAUAACACCUGAGCAGUGCCACAGACUGAUCGACUCCAUGCCACGCCGCAUUGCUGCAGUAAUUCAGGCAAAAGGAGCCCCAACUAAGUAUUGAGUGCUGUACAUGCUCAUACUUUUCAUGUUCAUACUUUUCAGUUGGCCAAGAUUUCUAAAAAUCCUUUCUUUGUAUUGGUCUUAAGUAAUAUUCUAAUUUUCUGAGAUACUGAAUUUGGGAUUUUCCUUAGUUGUCAGUUAUAAUCAUCAAAAUUAAAAGAAAUAAACAUUUGAAAUAUAUCAGUCUGUGUGUAAUGAAUGAAUAUAAUAUACAAGUUUCACUUUUUGAAUGGAAUUAGUGAAAUAAAUCAACUUUUUGAUGAUAUUCUAAUUAUAUGACCAGUACCUGUAUAUAUAUCUCAAAUGGUGAAGAGAUAUGCGUUGAAAAGGACCUAAAUGCAUCCUUUACCUCAAGCUUCAGGUCUUCUGCAUCAAUCCAGCUUCCCUUCAUUCUUAGUGCUUCUCAUUAUUUCAAUAGAGUAGAGAAAUCCAUAAAGCUUGUAGAAGAUUUCCAUGUUGGAAAAUCUGUCCUCUAUUGUGACAAGAGCAGUAUCUAUUAGAGGCAGAAAAAAACUCUCUUUUGAAGAGCUCUUCUGCAGUUAACUGAGUCUGCUCUGUUCCCUCAUACUUAAACUGUUUAGUUUUUUUUUUCUCUGACGCACCACUGCCCAGCUCAUCUAUCUUCAAGCUUCUCUGCUCUCUCCCUAGCAUCUGUUUUAGCAGAAUUAAAUCCAUGAUUGCGAAAUUCCUGAAGAAAUUCUUUCACUGCCCUGAUUUCUUCCCUCACUGUCUUGACUGAAACUUUGGGGUUUUGCAGGAUCGUACUUACUUCAUUUAUCUGGAAUAACACACUGUACCACACGAUGGUACUUACCACAAAAGGCCAUCUCUACAGCUCCAGGCAGAUGCUUUCAGCUGUUGAGACAACAUCUGCAUCUGGUUUUCUGUGGCGUACUCCUUUAGAAUAGUUAAUGCCUUUACAAUUUCAGGCAUCUGGUAACAAAUAGCAUUAACAGUUCUAACUCUACACUCCCACCUAG
ensembl:lncRNA